GUUCUGAUAGAUUAAAUCGUUAUAGUCGAAUGUAGGGAGUGUAGUGACAAGUAACUUACUAUUGCAGAAGGAGGAAAGAUAUACUCUUUCAUUUUAAACUGAAUUCAAUGUCUAUUUUUGGUUAGUUUUUGGGUAUGUCGAAAGGUGUUGGACAAAAGGUCGGUUUCCAGUGUACGGAGUUAAGGUUCAGCGAAGGGGAUGGAGAAGAUAAGGAUUUAAGGUGAGAGUUAGGGUUUUUGCAAUCCUGGGAGAUGAGUGGCGGCUUACUGCUAGUAGGUGAGAGGGCGAAGGGAGACAAGUGGAGGAGGAAAAGUUCAGUUUAGAGAUCAAAGAGAGAUCUGCCAUUGUCGCGAGCUCAGUGGAGGGAGGCGGACGAAGUUGAAGCAGAGAACCAUUGUGAGAGUCGCGUGUUUAAGAUCAUCGGCGUUGGAGCACUGUUCAGGGAGUGGCAGAGCAACGUCAGUGCGCAGGAGGGAGGCGGAUGAAAUCGAAGAAGAGAACCAUCGCAGUCGAGGAGUGUUUGAGUUCGUCAGUGUCAGAGCACUAUUCAGGCGGCAUCGGGUUCGAAGCAGAGCUUUUUGGCCUGAUAUAUCAUAUAAGCAAUGACAAAACAGCAAGUAGGCAUGAAACAGAUUUUCUUGGUGUAGUCUUAAUGCAUUUUCUAUCAUUAUACAACCAGUCGCUCUUUGCAAUCACCUUGCUUGUCCUUAAUGGCUAGGAGAGAUGGGGUAGCAAUAGCAAAUGUGAACAUUGAUAUCUGUGUGGCUGGAACAGUCUUAGCCAUCCUUCACUGGGCUGAGCUCUUCGAUUGGAGCACUAAGUGGGCGGGUCUUUAUUCAUUUUCCACCUAGUUGUGCCAAGGUUGGAUUGGAUAUGGUCCUGUGCAACUAAAAAAUCCAGCUUCAUUAGAAUAUAACACACUAGCAAACACAGAAUGCACAUUAUUCCUGUUAAGUAUUCUUAUGUAUGAAUUUGAGAGGAGGAAAUAAAUUUUGCAUUUCAACCUCUCUUUUUUGUUUUUAUUUUUUUUCUUUUUUGUUUCUUGUCUUUACUUUUUGUUUUGUAUUUUUUUGGUUAAAUCUGUUGGAUUCAGGUUUGGUGGGAUCAGUCAAAGUUUAACCAAUGUUCAGACUCAAUGGCUUUCCAUAUUUUACUUGCCGUUGAACUGUUAAUGGAUAAUUUUUUAUGACUGGGUAUGUUUAGGUUGCUCAUUUGGUGGGAGUGAUGAUAGGAGAGCUCUAUCCCUAUAUUUGGAGAGGCUUGGAUUUCGAGUUAUACUGGAUUUGGAUAAGAUGUAAUAUAAAAUUGUAUUUGAAUUUAUUCAAAUCGACCUAAAUCCAAAUUCAAGGCCCAAAAUCCAUGCUUCCAAAACGCAAUAUGUAUAACUUUUAUUAUAGGUGGGUAACAUCACCUCAUUUUUUGUGUACCUGUUAGAGUUAUUAUUUUCUUCUCUGCUGAUGUAAAAUAAAUAAAUAAAGGCCAUAUGUCCGGAGGAUGAAAAAUUCCUGGGUGCUUGUAAGGCAAUGUGAACUUGUGGCAGGCAAGGAAAGCUGGAAAACCAAUCUGAACUGGGAUAUUAAAUCAAAAAGUUGACCUUUUCUUUCAGUUCGAUUAAUUGAAAAAAAGAAAAAGAAGGUUAUUGGUUCGAUUAUCUCAAUAACCAUGGUUCAUCAAAAACUUUCUUAUAAUUGUUUUUAUAUAUUUUAUAAAUAUAUACUAUAUAUUUUUCCUACAAAUUUUUAAGAUUUUACUGGAAGAUGCAUACUGAUUCAUGGACUAGCAGACACAAUGGAUCUCCUGAUGCUCACAAUAUUGCUGCCCCACCAUCUUCCACUCCCACGCUCACUCGUUUGCUGCCACACCAUCCAUGGUGAUCUAUCUUUCCCAGACUCAUUGCCCCACACAAUCUCCUACUCUGUUGUUCCGCUCGACCCAUAUGCUGUGGAUCUUUGUCGUGCACGACUGUUUCUUUUCUAGUUUCCCUCUCGCUUCCUCUAAGAUUUCACUGGAUGUGUUGCAGGCUUGCAACAGUUGAGUGGUGAGGAUGUUCUGCAGUUUGCAUUUGCUGGUGGGUGCUUAGCAAUUUUUGUAAUUUUCUGUUCUGGACUUUCUGUAUAUAUAUUUAUGUAUUUGGUUUUUUUUUUUCUCCACAGUUUUGGAAGUUGCUAAUCUAGACCUUUAUGUAGAGUUAUAACAUCUUUUUUUUUUAGGUUUUAAUUAACAAUCUAGGCAUUACAAUUAGCUUUUGAGACUUUAAUAUUAAAUUGUCCUUGGGUGUAAGUGCUUGCCUUCAAUGAUUGCAUUUGUUGAAAUGGAGAGUUGCACGGAUUUGCUUUUAGGGAAUGUGAACAGGGGUUCAUUUGGUGUUAGCAGAAAGUACAUGACAUAUUGGUUGGUUUGUUUUACCAGUGGAAUUUGAUCCAAAUCAUUGGUUAACUGACCAAAGUGGUUUGGUUCCAGAUGAAACUGAAAUUUAGCUUGGAUUGCAUUUUGUGCAUAUGGUUUGGUUAACCAAGCCAUGCCCAUACCUAAUGUGAACAACGCUGAAAUUCCUGGAUGGGUGGAGACCAUGCUUGUAUAGGUACUUGUCACUUGCACUGAGCUUUAUUGUGCACAGGGGUAUUGGAAUACGGAUGCAAAGGAGGUUCCAUCUUCCCCUCAGGUAAAGUUAAUUACUUUGCAUUUGUAAUUGCUAAGGCAAAUUUUUUCUAAUUAUGAAGAAGGGUCACCUUGAUGGGAGUAGCAGUUGCUGAUGGACCUGGCAAAGAAAUCCUCAUCAUUUUAGAUAUCCAUGAGAUUUUAAUUGUAAACUAUUUUUGUUUUCAAUAAUUACAUAUGUAUUUUGAUUUCUGAAAGUAGAAUUUUGAAUUGAAUUUAUGUUUUACCCUUUGAGUGUUCAUACAGAGCAUUCAGCACCAUGAUCAAUAUCUGACUCUUUGGUCAUUUUCAAUUUGAUUUUAUUUAUAGAGUCACGGUUUAGAUGCAGCAAUACCCUUUGAGAGUUUUGAAUUAAGUGGCUGCUUUCAAAGUUCAGAUCAAACCUGGGAACUACCUUUUGACAGCCCAACAAUGUUAUUUGACAAUUUUAUUGCAUAUAAUGUAUUUACUGUUGAAUUAUUCAUGAAUCAAGAUAUUGUGAAAAUUUAUGAAUUUUUUAAUAUUUUGAGUUUUGGCAGAAUAGCAGUGCAUACCCUCUUUUUGUCUAAUAUGCAUUGCAGAAUGACAGUUUAAUUCUUCCUCCACUUGAAUAUAUUUAUUGUACUCUACCCCAAUAAUUAUUCCAGAUUCUUUGCUGGUUUUGUUUUGAGUUUUAAUCUGCAUUGCAUUACUGCUGGAUUUCGAAAUUGUUCUCCACAUUAAACAUUUCUUAAAUAUUCAUGAUGUCCAGCAGUCCCUAGUUGUUGCCAACUCACCCAUAUAUGUUUACUAUUUUUAAGCUAUCGAGUCCAUAUUCUCUUUUGAUGCUGUUGGUUCCCUUUUUGAUGUUCUUCUGCAUCAAAAUGUUUGAAAAAUCCAUCAUUUCUGUGAUCUAAUUUUUCUAGAGACUGUUGCCAUAUGAUGCUUCGGACUGCUGGUUUUGGUUUUGGUGUUGUGUAUCAAAUUGAAAUUUUGGUACCAGAUUAUUUCUCUGCUGGGUGUUAUUAAUGCAGUAUACGAGAUUAUUUAUAUGUUUCUCAAAUGAUGGGCGCAUCAAGUGGUUGUGACUUCUUGGACUUUGAGCUUCAAGCUUUGCUCCUCCACUAUAGAAGGCACAUUCUUUGCUUCACUUACGUCGACUGAUCAUAUCGAGACGCUUUCAUUGCUUUGGAUUGGAAGUCAUACUCCGCAUUUUGAAGGUCAUGCUGAUGCAUUUUGGAAAAACCUUCAGUUGGCUGUUGUAAUCCAGACCAAGCUGAGAAUCAUUCCAAUUGGGCUGCUGGAUUUAGUGACCAAAAGUGACCCUUGCUUGCCCAUUCAGCCAACCGAAAGGUUCGAAAUGUUGAAGGAUAAAACUGGAAAAUGAUUUUCUUGAAUCCAAGCUUGGUUAUCUGUUUAACAGAGGGUUCUACAUGCAACUUUACUGGAUGUUACUUGACGUGAUUCCUUGGAAGAUCUCGGAGAACUUCCUUGCGAAAGUUAAAGAAGGGGGCUGGAAGGCAUAUAUUUUUUCAACUAAUUUGCUGAUGUAAUUUCAUCUGCCUGCUUGGCUUCACUGCAAAAUCCCAAGAGGGACAGGAAGAAAGGGGAAAAGAGGUAAAAAGAAACGCAUCAAGUGGGACAAUGAUUUGCCUCCAAAUGCAUAAUUAAAACGAAGACAGUGGCUCAUGUUCCCAUUCACUGCAUAGACAUCCUUUUAAUUUCUCCACUGCACUAUUGGAAGAAGGAAGAACAAUAGCUCCAAAAUGAAGAAAUUCUGCAGGUGGACCCAUUAUAUGUUUGUUCUGUUUGUAUACAUUCAUUCCACAAAUCUUACAGAUUCCAUCUUUGCUGUAUAAUUUAUCAUUCCCUCCAAGAUGUAGAGCAUCAAAUCUGCUUUGAAUUGAGUAAACAAUUUCUUUUACUUUU